CAGCAGCCACGGUAAUACGGAGGGUGCAAGCGUUAAUCGGAAUUACUGGGCGUAAAGCGCACGCAGGCGGUUUGUUAAGUCAGAUGUGAAAUCCCCGAGCUUAACUUGGGAACUGCAUUUGAAACUGGCAAGCUAGAGUCUUGUAGAGGGGGGUAGAAUUCCAGGUGUAGCGGUGAAAUGCGUAGAGAUCUGGAGGAAUACCGGUGGCGAAGGCGGCCCCCUGGACAAAGACUGACGCUCAGGUGCGAAAGCGUGGGGAGCAAACAGGAUUAGAUACCCCAGUAGUCCCUGUCUCUUAUAC
rnacentral:rRNA from 1 species